AAUCAAUAUUUCUCAUGAUCGAGCGGAAAGCAUGAUGGAAAGGAGCACGACUCAUCUGUAAAGAAGAAAGUAUUAUCCAAAAGAAUCAUCCAGAAAGAAGUAUCAUCAAAAAUUCUGAGACGUUUCACAUCAGCAACAAAUUUUUUGUAUUUUGAGGGGAAAAUCCAACGGUGGCUUUAAAGCCAAGAAUAAAAUUUUUCCCUUUCACGAUGGGUAUCUACUUGAUGAGAGUCUUCACGAUAACUUUUUUUUGCUCCAGUGCAGCAUCGAUGAUAACGUUCUUCACAUCCGUCGUGUGAGUCGCAUGCAUUUAUGUUCCUCCGGUCACUCAAUCAUGUCGUAGGACGAAAGGUCCGAAUCGGCACGGGUG